rnacentral:ncRNA from 2 species
AGGCAUAAUACAGCCGCCGGUGCCCUUCGGGGCCUAACAGGGAACACAGCGGGAAGAUUGCCGCUGUGGCUGCCCCCGCAACUGUAUGCAGCGAGUCCGCCUGCGCUUGGCGCCACUGGUUAAACCGGGAAGGCCGCGGCGGACGACGACCUGCCAGCCAGGAGACCUGCCGGCCAGACUGUUCGUGC